AGCGUACACGGUGGAUGCCUAGGCAGUCAGAGGCGAUGAAGGGCGUGCUAAUCUGCGAAAAGCGUCGGUAAGCUGAUAUGAAGCGUUAUAACCGACGAUACCCGAAUGGGGAAACCCAGUGCAAUACGUUGCACUAUCGUUAGAUGAAUACAUAGUCUAACGAGGCGAACCGGGGGAACUGAAACAUCUAAGUACCCCGAGGAAAAGAAAUCAACCGAGAUUCCCCCAGUAGCGGCGAGCGAACGGGGAGGAGCCCAGAGUCUGAAUCAGUUUGUGUGUUAGUGGAAGCGUCUGGAAAGUCGCACGGUACAGGGUGAUAGUCCCGUACACCAAAAUGCACAGGCUGUGAACUCGAUGAGUAGGGCGGGACACGUGACAUCCUGUCUGAAUAUGGGGGGACCAUCCUCCAAGGCUAAAUACUCCUGACUGACCGAUAGUGAACCAGUACCGUGAGGGAAAGGCGAAAAGAACCCCGGCGAGGGGAGUGAAAUAGAACCUGAAACCGUGUACGUACAAGCAGUGGGAGCACCUUCGUGGUGUGACUGCGUACCUUUUGUAUAAUGGGUCAGCGACUUAUAUUUUGUAGCAAGGUUAACCGAAUAGGGGAGCCGUAGGGAAACCGAGUCUUAACUGGGCGUCUAGUUGCAAGGUAUAGACCCGAAACCCGGUGAUCUAGCCAUGGGCAGGUUGAAGGUUGGGUAACACUAACUGGAGGACCGAACCGACUAAUGUUGAAAAAUUAGCGGAUGACUUGUGGCUGGGGGUGAAAGGCCAAUCAAACCGGGAGAUAGCUGGUUCUCCCCGAAAGCUAUUUAGGUAGCGCCUCGUGAACUCAUCUUCGGGGGUAGAGCACUGUUUCGGCUAGGGGGCCAUCCCGGCUUACCAAACCGAUGCAAACUCCGAAUACCGAAGAAUGUUAUCACGGGAGACACACGGCGGGUGCUAACGUCCGUCGUGAAGAGGGAAACAACCCAGACCGCCAGCUAAGGUCCCAAAGUCAUGGUUAAGUGGGAAACGAUGUGGGAAGGCACAGACAGCCAGGAUGUUGGCUUAGAAGCAGCCAUCAUUUAAAGAAAGCGUAAUAGCUCACUGGUCGAGUCGGCCUGCGCGGAAGAUGUAACGGGGCUAAACCAUGCACCGAAGCUGCGGCAGCGACGUUUAGGCGUUGUUGGGUAGGGGAGCGUUCUGUAAGCCGUUGAAGGUGACCUGUGAGGGUUGCUGGAGGUAUCAGAAGUGCGAAUGCUGACAUAAGUAACGAUAAUGCGGGUGAAAAACCCGCACGCCGGAAGACCAAGGGUUCCUGUCCAACGUUAAUCGGGGCAGGGUGAGUCGACCCCUAAGGCGAGGCUGAAAAGCGUAGUCGAUGGGAAACAGGUUAAUAUUCCUGUACUUGGUGUUACUGCGAAGGGGGGACGGAGAAGGCUAGGCUGGCCGGGCGACGGUUGUCCCGGUUUAAGCGUGUAGGGGGAGUGACCAGGUAAAUCCGGUUGCUUAUCAACCCUGAGGCGUGAUGACGAUGCACCACGGUGCAGAAGCAGUUGAUGCCAUGCUUCCAGGAAAAGCCUCUAAGCAUCAGGUAACAUUAAAUCGUACCCCAAACCGACACAGGUGGUCAGGUAGAGAAUACUCAGGCGCUUGAGAGAACUCGGGUGAAGGAACUAGGCAAAAUGGUGCCGUAACUUCGGGAGAAGGCACGCUGGCGUUAGGUGAAAGGACUAGCUCCUGGAGCUGAAGCCAGUCGCAGAUACCAGCUGGCUGCAACUGUUUAAUAAAAACACAGCACUGUGCAAACACGAAAGUGGACGUAUACGGUGUGACGCCUGCCCGGUGCUGGAAGGUUAAUUGAUGGGGUCAGCCGCAAGGCGAAGCUCUUGAUCGAAGCCCCAGUAAACGGCGGCCGUAACUAUAACGGUCCUAAGGUAGCGAAAUUCCUUGUCGGGUAAGUUCCGACCUGCACGAAUGGCGUAAUGAUGGCCAGGCUGUCUCCACCCGAGACUCAGUGAAAUUGAACUCGCUGUGAAGAUGCAGUGUACCCGCGGCAAGACGGAAAGACCCCGUGAACCUUUACUAUAGCUUGACACUGAACAUUGAGCCUUGAUGUGUAGGAUAGGUGGGAGGCCUUGAAGUGUGGACGCCAGUCUGCAUGGAGCCAACCUUGAAAUACCACCCUUUAAUGUUUGAUGUUCUAACUCGGCCCCAUGAUCUGGGGUGAGGACAGUGUCUGGUGGGUAGUUUGACUGGGGCGGUCUCCUCCCAAAGAGUAACGGAGGAGCACGAAGGUUAGCUAAUCACGGUCGGACAUCGUGAGGUUAGUGCAAAGGCAUAAGCUAGCUUGACUGCGAGAGUGACGGCUCGAGCAGGUACGAAAGUAGGUCUUAGUGAUCCGGUGGUUCUGAAUGGAAGGGCCAUCGCUCAACGGAUAAAAGGUACUCCGGGGAUAACAGGCUGAUACCGCCCAAGAGUUCAUAUCGACGGCGGUGUUUGGCACCUCGAUGUCGGCUCAUCACAUCCUGGGGCUGAAGUAGGUCCCAAGGGUAUGGCUGUUCGCCAUUUAAAGUGGUACGCGAGCUGGGUUUAGAACGUCGUGAGACAGUUCGGUCCCUAUCUGCCGUGGGCGUUGGAAGAUUGAGAGGGGCUGCUCCUAGUACGAGAGGACCGGAGUGGACGAAUCACUGGUGUUCGGGUUGUCAUGCCAAUGGCAUUGCCCGGUAGCUAAAUUCGGAAGAGAUAACCGCUGAAAGCAUCUAAGCGGGAAACUUGCCUCGAGAUGAGUCUUCCCUGGGGCUUAAAGCCCCCUGAAGGAACGUUAAAGACUAUGACGUUGAUAGGCUGGGUGUGUAAGUGCAGCGAUGUAUUGAGCUAACCAGUACUAAUGAUCCGUGAGGCUUAACC
rnacentral:rRNA from 1 species